UACAGAGGGGGCAAGCGUUGUUCGGAAUUACUGGGCGUAAAGGGCGCGUAGGCGGCCGCCUAAGUCAGACGUGAAAUCCCUCGGCUCAACCGGGGAACUGCGUCUGAUACUGGGUGGCUUGAAUCCGGGAGAGGGAUGCGGAAUUCCAGGUGUAGCGGUGAAAUGCGUAGAUAUCUGGAGGAAUACCGGUGGCGAAGGCGGCAUCCUGGACCGGCAUUGACGCUGAGCUGACGCGAAAGCCGGAAGGGCAAACGGG
rnacentral:rRNA from 1 species